rnacentral:rRNA from 1 species
AACGUAGGAAGCGAGCGUUAUCCGGAUUUACUGGGCGUAAAGGGCAGGCAGGCGGUCGGUUAAGUCCUACUUGAAAGCUCCCGGCUCAACUGGGAGAGGCGGUGGGAAACUGGCGGACUAGAGGAUGGUAGAGGAAAGUGGAAUUCCUGGUGUAGCGGUGAAAUGCGUAGAUAUCAGGAGGAACACCGGUGGUGCAGACGGCUCUCUGGACCGUAACUGACGCUGAGACACGAAAGCGUGGGUAGCAAACAGG